GACGAACGCUGGCGGCGUGCUUAAUACAUGCAAGUCGAACGGAAAGGCCCCUUUGUGGGUACUCGAGUGGUGAACGGGUGCGUAACACGUGAGUAACCUGCCCUUGACUUCGGGACUACUUCAGGAAACUGGGGCUAAUACCGGAUAGGAAUCCUAGCUGCAUGGUGGUGGUUGGAAAGUUUCGGCGGUUUUGGAUGGACUCGCGGCUUAUCAGCUUGUUGGUGGGGUUGUGGCUUACCAAGGCUUUGACGGGUAGCCGGCCUGAGGGGGCGACCGGCCACAUUGGGACUGAGAUACGGCCCAGACUCCUACGGGAGGCAGCAGUGGGGAAUAUUGAACAAUGAGCGGAAGCCUGAUGCAGCAGCGCCGCGUGCGGGAUGACGGCCUUCGGGUGGUAAACCGCUUUCAGCAGGGACGAAGCUUGUGGUGACGGUACCUGCAGAGGAAGCAACGGCUAACUACGUG
rnacentral:rRNA from 1 species